GUAGGUGGCAAGCGUUGUCCGGAAUUAUUGGGCGUAAAGCGCGCGCAGGGCGGUCCUUUAAGUCUGAUGUGAAAGCCCACGGCUCAACCGUGGAGGGUCAUUGGAAACUGGGGGACUUGAGUACAGAAGAGGAAAGCGGAAUUCCACGUGUAGCGGUGAAAUGCGUAGAGAUGUGGAGGAACACCAGUGGCGAAGGCGGCUUUCUGGUCUGUAACUGACGCUGAGGCGCGAAAGCGUGGGGAGCAAACAGGAUUAGAUACCCUGGUAGUCCACGCCGUAAACGAUGAGUGCUAAGUGUUAGGGGGUUUCCGCCCCUUAGUGCUGCAGCUAACGCAUUAAGCACUCCGCCUGGGGAGUACGGCCGCAAGGCUG
rnacentral:rRNA from 1 species